rnacentral:rRNA from 1 species
UAUUAUGAGAGUUUGAUCCUGGCUCAGGACGAACGCUGGCGGCGUGCCUAAUACAUGCAAGUCGAACGCUUCUUUCCUCCCGAGUGCUUGCACUCAAUUGGAAAGAGGAGUGGCGGACGGGUGAGUAACACGUGGGUAACCUACCCAUCAGAGGGGGAUAACACUUGGAAACAGGUGCUAAUACCGCAUAACAGUUUAUGCCGCAUGGCAUAAGAGUGAAAGGCGCUUUCGGGUGUC